UGGGGAAUAUUGGGCAAUGGGGGAAACCCUGACCCAGCAACGCCGCGUGAGUGAAGAAGGCCUUCGGGUUGUAAAACUCUGUUUUAAGGGACGAAAGAUAUGUAUAGUAACUGAUAUGUAUAAGACGGUACCUUAAGAGGAAGCCCCGGCUAACUACGUGCCAGCAGCCGCGGUAAGACGUAGGGGGCGAGCGUUGUCCGGAAUUACUGGGCGUAAAGAGCACGUAGGCGGAUAUUUAAGUCUGAUGUGAAAGACCGGGGCUCAACCCCGGGGUUGCAUAAGAAACUGGAUAUCUUGAGGGCAGGAGAGGACAGUAGAAUUCCUGGUGUAGCGGUGAAAUGCGUAGAAAUCAGGAGGAAUACCGGUGGCGAAGGCGACUGUCUGGACUGACCCUGACGCUGAGGUGCGAAAGCGUGGGUAGCAAACAGG
rnacentral:rRNA from 2 species